CCUGGCUCAGGAUGAACGCUAGCUACAGGCUUAACACAUGCAAGUCGAGGGGCAGCAUGGUCUUAGCUUGCUAAGGCCGAUGGCGACCGGCGCACGGGUGAGUAACACGUAUCCAACCUGCCGUCUACUCUUGGACAGCCUUCUGAAAGGAAGAUUAAUACAAGAUGGCAUCAUGAGUCCGCAUGUUCACAUGAUUAAAGGUAUUCCGGUAGACGAUGGGGAUGCGUUCCAUUAGAUAGUAGGCGGGGUAACGGCCCACCUAGUCUUCGAUGGAUAGGGGUUCUGAGAGGAAGGUCCCCCACAUUGGAACUGAGACACGGUCCAAACUCCUACGGGAGGCAGCAGUGAGGAAUAUUGGUCAAUGGGCGAGAGCCUGAACCAGCCAAGUAGCGUGAAGGAUGACUGCCCUAUGGGUUGUAAACUUCUUUUAUAAAGGAAUAAAGUCGGGUAUGGAUACCCGUUUGCAUGUACUUUAUGAAUAAGGAUCGGCUAACUCCGUGCCAGCAGCCGCGGUAAUACGGAGGAUCCGAGCGUUAUCCGGAUUUAUUGCGUUUAAAGGGAGCGUAGAUGGAUGUUUAAGUCAGUUGUGAAAGUUUGCGGCUCAACCGUACAAUUGCAGUUGAUACUGGAUAUCUUGAGUGCAGCUGAGGCAGGCGGAAUUCGUGGUGUAGCGGUGAAAUGCUUAGAUAUCACGAAGAACUCCGAUUGCGAAGGCAGCCUGCUAAGCUGCAACUGACAUUGAGGCUCGAAAGUGUGGGUAUCAAACAGGAUUAGAUACCCUGGUAGUCCACACGGUAAACGAUGAAUACUCGCUGUUUGCGAUAUACAGCAAGCGGCCAAGCGAAAGCGUUAAGUAUUCCACCUGGGGAGUACGCCGGCAACGGUGAAACUCAAAGGAAUUGACGGGGGCCCGCACAAGCGGAGGAACAUGUGGUUUAAUUCGAUGAUACGCGAGGAACCUUACCCGGGCUUAAAUUGCAGAUGAAUUACGGUGAAAGCCGUAAGCCGCAAGGCAUCUGUGAAGGUGCUGCAUGGUUGUCGUCAGCUCGUGCCGUGAGGUGUCGGCUUAAGUGCCAUAACGAGCGCAACCCUUGUUGUCAGUUACUAACAGGUUCCGCUGAGGACUCUGACAAGACUGCCAUCGUAAGAUGUGAGGAAGGUGGGGAUGACGUCAAAUCAGCACGGCCCUUACGUCCGGGGCUACACACGUGUUACAAUGGGGGGUACAGAGGGCCGCUACCACGCGAGUGGAUGCCAAUCCCCAAAACCUCUCUCAGUUCGGACUGGAGUCUGCAACCCGACUCCACGAAGCUGGAUUCGCUAGUAAUCGCGCAUCAGCCACGGCGCGGUGAAUACGUUCCCGGGCCUUGUACACAC
rnacentral:rRNA from 1 species